rnacentral:rRNA from 1 species
UACGUAGGGCGCAAGCGUUGUCCGGAAUUAUUGGGCGUAAAGAGCUCGUAGGCGGCCAGGUAGGUCUGCUGUGAAAACUCGAGGCUUAACCUCGAGCUGUCGGCGGAAACCAUCUGGCUAGAGUCCGGAAGAGGAGAAUGGAAUUCCCGGUGUAGCGGUGAAAUGCGUAGAUAUCUGGAGGAACACCGGUGGCGAAGGCGGCAUCCUGGACCAACACUGACGCUGAGUGAGCGAAAGCCAGGGGAGCAAACGGG